UACGUAGGGUGCAAGCGUUAAUCGGAAUUACUGGGCGUAAAGCGUGCGCAGGCGGUUAUGUAAGACAGUUGUGAAAUCCCCGGGCUCAACCUGGGAACUGCAUCUGUGACUGCAUAGCUAGAGUACGGUAGAGGGUGAUGGAAUUCCGCGUGUAGCAGUGAAAUGCGUAGAUAUGCGGAGGAACACCGAUGGCGAAGGCAAUCCCCUGGACCUGUACUGACGCUCAUGCACGAAAGCGUGGGGAGCAAACAGG
rnacentral:rRNA from 1 species